CGGGUGCUUUACGGCAGCACGUUUGAACGGGGAAGAGGGAAAAGUGCCUCAGGUGCCGGGGGCUCUAAUCAAGAAAGAAAAAACAGGAAGAAAAGAGAGCUGUCUCCACAAUGUAAAGAAAUAGUCAAAUAUCUUUUUAACAAACCAUAUUUUCUACUUUACCAGGGGAGGGGGAGGGGUGGAGAGGUUAUACACACCAAAAAGAUACCGUUAUUUUUAAAAUUAAAAACCUACAUAUUUCUUUAUUUAAUAAAUACCUCAUGUUAUUAAAAAACUGAAAA